rnacentral:rRNA from 1 species
AUUGAACGCUGGCGGCAAGCCUAACACAUGCAAGUCGAGCGGAUGAAGGGAGCUUGCUCCUGGAUUCAGCGGCGGACGGGUGAGUAAUGCCUAGGAAUCUGCCUGGUAGUGGGGGAUAACGUCCGGAAACGGGCGCUAAUACCGCAUACGUCCUGAGGGAGAAAGUGGGGGAUCUUCGGACCUCACGCUAUCAGAUGAGCCUAGGUCGGAUUAGCUAGUUGGUGGGGUAAAGGCCUACCAAGGCGACGAUCCGUAACUGGUCUGAGAGGAUGAUCAGUCACACUGGAACUGAGACACGGUCUAGACUCCUACGGGAGGCAGCAGUGGGGAAUAUUGGACAAUGGGCGAAAGCCUGAUCCAGCCAUGCCGCGUGUGUGAAGAAGGUCUUCGGAUUGUAAAGCACUUUAAGUUGGGGGGAAGGGCAGUAAGUUAAUACCUUGCUGUUUUGACGUUACCAACAGAAUAAGCACCGGCUAACUUCGUG